rnacentral:rRNA from 1 species
AUGGCUCCGAGCUGCUGGUUCUUCUGGGCUCUGUGCCUACCGCUGAUGCUCGCGGUCGUCGUGGUGGCCGAGGAGCAAAUAGAAGGCUGCUCGAGGUCGGCCAAGAGAGGCGGCAAUGUGACCGUCUCCGACCCAUUCUGGCUCAGGGAUAGCGUGGCGGAACAAGCAUGUGGCUCCUCAGAUAUCGAGGUCUCUUGCUUCAACGACACCCCAGUUCUACAGAGCUCUAUGGGCGUCGGCUUUACAGUCAUGGACAUGUCUUAUGAGGAGCGCAGCCUGCGCGUUGCUGACGGAGGCAAGCUGUUCUUGCUGCAUCCAUCCAACAGCUGUGACGUGCCGAUCUGGAACACCUCCGCCAAACUGAGCCACCCGUUUAGUAUCAGCCCGGGCAACCUGAAUCUCAUCAUGUACAACUGCACGGAGAAUGGCGGAGCAUCGGCUCUGGCACUCAGGGGCAGAGAGCUGGUGCAGACGAGGAUGGGGUGCGGGAACUCCCCCAUCAACGGCGCGCGGCUUCCUCUUGACAUGGGAGCUCCCCCAUCAAAUCAUGUCCUCAAUGGCUCAAUCCAUUUCCUGGCUAGAGCUAAGACCGCAGUGCCUUUGCUUGGAUUUCCCUUAUCCGACCUUAGCUAUCAAUCACGCCACUCUGUUGUUGAGGAUAAGGCCGUAGACCCCUUUUGGGUUCCAAAGCAGAUCAUUCCCGCCUCGAGUAAAUAG